CAAUAAGCGAAGGAAAAGAAACCAACAGGGAUUGCCUCAGUAACGGCGAGUGAAGCGGCAAGAGCUCAAAUUUGAAAUCUGGCUCCUUUGGGGCCCGAGUUGUAAUUUGCAGAGGAUGCUUCGGGUGCGGCCACGGCAUAAGUUCCUUGGAACAGGAUGUCAUAGAGGGUGAGAAUCCCGUCUUGGGUCGUCGGUACGCGCCCGUGUGAAGCUCCUUCGACGAGUCGAGUUGUUUGGGAAUGCAGCUCUAAAUGGGUGGUAAAUUUCAUCUAAAGCUAAAUACUGGCUGGAGACCGAUAGCGCACAAGUAGAGUGAUCGAAAGGUUAAAAGCACCUUGAAAAGGGAGUUAAAUAGCACGUGAAAUUGUUGAAAGGGAAGCGCUUGCAACCAGACUCGGCCGCAGAGGCUCAGUGGGCACGUGUGCCCGUGCACUCCUCUGUGGUCGGGCCAGCAUCAGUUCUGGCGGCCGGUCAAAGGCCCCUGGAAGGUGUCGCCUCUCGGGGCGUCUUAUAGCCAGGGGUGCAAUGCGGCCUGCCGGGACUGAGGAACGCGCUUCGGCACGGAUGCUGGCGUAAUGGUUGUAAGCGGCCCGUCUUGAAACAC
rnacentral:rRNA from 1 species